GUAACAGCUCACUAGUUAAACGGUCUCGCGUCGAAAAUGUAACGGGACUCAAGCAAAGAACCGACGCUAUGGUUUUGUUAUCUCUUCGGAGGUAACAGAAGGUAGGGGAGCAUUGAUGUCAUUCAAAUUCAUUUUGCUUGCAAAAUGGGUUUGAUUCCAGGCUGUGAAGGUAGACUCGUGAGAGCUACUGGAGCGUCAUCAAGCGAGAAUGUUGGCAUGAGUAACGAGAAGGUGGUGAAAACCCACCUCGCCGGAAGUCUAAGGGUUCCUCCGCUAUGUCAGUCAUCGGAGGGUUAGUCGACCCUAAGGUGAGGCCGAAAGGCGUAACCGAUGGAUAGCAGGUUAAUAUUCCUGCACUACUAUAAAACCGUUUUUACCAAUGGAGGGACGGAGUUUGAUAAGUUGAGCCCAUUAAGGAUUUGGGUCCCAAGAGCAAGUUAGGAAAUGAUAGGAAAAUCCGCAUUUCCGUUUAAGGCGAGCUUUAGGGAGAAAGCCAUCUUCGGAUGGAAUAUUCAGCUGCGUUAAGCUUCCAAGAAAAUCUUCUAGGGAGGUUUUAUAGUAUUCGUACCGCAAACCGACACAGGUAGACGAGUAGAGAAUACUAAGGCGAACGAGAGAACCGUGGUUGAGGAACUAGGCAAAUUACAUCCGUAACUUAGGAAAAAGGAUGCCCUAUCGCAAGGUAGGGGGCACAGAAAUGGCUCAAGCGACUGUUUAUUAAAAACACAGGUCCCUGCUAAACUCGUAAGAGGAUGUAUAGGGGCCGACACCUGCCCAGUGCCCGUAAGUUAAAACUGGAGGUGAUUCCUUUACUUGUAAAGGAUGAGCUUUUGGUCCAAGCUCGGGUGAACGGCAGCAGUAACUAUAACUGUUCUAAGGUAGCGUAAUCCCUUGUCGCAUAAUUAUCGACCCGCACGAAAGGUGUAACGACUUGAGCACUCUCUUAAUCACGGACUCGGUGAAAUUGAACUACCGGUAAAGAUGCCGGUUACCUGUUGCUGGACAGAAAGACCCCGUGGAGCUUUACUGUAUCCUGACAUUGGUGCGUACUGCUAACUGUGUAGUGUAGGAGGGAGAUUUUGGCUUUAAACCCAAAAUCGCCAAUGAAACACCUCUCUUUUAUCAGUGCAAACCUAACUGCUUCCCGUUAUCCGGGAAGAGGACAAUGUUUGGAGGACAGUUUAUCUGGGGCGGAUUCCUGCUAAAAAGUAACGCAGGAGCACAAAGGUUCCCUUAUCUCGGAUGGAAAUCGAGAUGUAAGCGUAAAGGUAUAUGGGAGCUUGACUGCAAGACACACAAGUCGCGCAGAUACGAAAGUAGGUCUUAGUGAUCUUCCGUGUGCCUAAUGGUAGGCCCGGAACUUAUCGGAUAAAAGUUACCCCGGGGAUAACAGGCUAAUAGUGCCCGAGCGCCCACAGCGGCGGCACUGUUUGGCACCUCGAUGUCGACUCUUCUUAUCCUGGGGCUGGAGCAGGUCCCAAGGGUUGGACUGUUCGUCCAUUAAAAAGGAGCGUUAGUUGGGUUUAGAGCGUCGUGAGACAGCUCGGUCCCUUUCCGCAACAGGCGUAGAGUUUUGAGGGGAGUCAUUCCUAGUACGAGAGGACCGGAAUGAACGAGUCUCUAGUGCACCAGUUGUUCCGCCAGGAGCAUCGCUGGGUAGCUACACUCGGAUGUGAUAAGCGCUGAAAGCAUCUAAGCACGAAGCACACCCCAAGAUUAGAACUCAUCCCAUUUAUGGGACGCAAUUCCUGGGAGACUACCAGGUUGAUAGGCUGCAGGUGUAAGCCCCGUAAGGGGUGCGUAGAUUUCGCAAGAAAUUUCAGCCGAGCAGUACUAA
rnacentral:rRNA from 1 species